rnacentral:rRNA from 1 species
AACGAACGCUGGCGGCGUGCCUAACACAUGCAAGUCGAACGGGAAAACCCGCAAGGGUGAGUACAGUGGCGCACGGGUGCGUAACACGUGGGUAAUCUGCCCAGAAGCCCGGAAUAACUCCCCGAAAGGGGUGCUAAUGCCGGAUGAGACCACGGGGACUUCGGUUCCUGGGGGGAAAGGUGGCCUCUGUAUACAAGCUAUCACUUCUGGAUGAGCCCGCGGCCCAUCAGCUAGUUGGCGGGGUAAUGGCCCACCAAGGCUACGACGGGUAGGGGUGCUGAGAGGAGGAUCAGCCACACUGGAGCUGAGACACGUUCCAGACUCCUACGGGAGGCAGCAGUGGGGAAUCUUGCGCAAUGGGCGGAAGCCUGACGCAGCAACGCCGCGUGUGUGAUGAAGGUCUUCGGAUCGUAAAGCACUGUCGGGAGGGACGAAUAAGGGCCGGGUGAACAAUCCGGUUCGACGACGGUACCUCCAGAGGAAGCACCGGCUAACUCUGUGCCAGCCGCCGCAGUAACAC